GGGGACAUGAGCGAAUCCGUGAGGAAACUUGAGGGCCCCACCGUGCGUCCAACGGUGGCCGCAUGUCGACGUGGAAAGGGCGAGCCCGCCGUUCCGGUGCUGGUCACCACUGCACAUCCGAAGAGCACCCGGGGCCGUAAAAAGAGAUCGAGACCAUCAAAAGAAGCCAGUGCACCGGCCAUGGAUACCACGACCACCAAGGGGCGCA